UUCUCUGAGAUGAGGGCGGCAACAGGAGCAAAUGCGAGCAGACAGCUGGAACGCACACCACAGCCUCCAGUGGAAGCAUUCCAAGAUCUGCAGCAAAUAUCUAGCUCAUUGGCAGAAGCAGGUUUUUGGCAUGAACAACUGUUUUUCACUUUGAUUUCGACUCCAGCAGAAGUUCUGCAAGAUGACCUGGGAAUAAAGUUGGCCAAGAAGCCUCCGAGGGGAGAUCGGCGUGUGAGGUGGAGAGCCCCGCGUCUACAUGAGGUGUGAGAUCCCAACAGGUUGACAAUGGAAGCAGAGCUGAGAAUCCGGUCAUCUUAUAUUAAGCCAGAUGCUAAAAAGGUUUGAAAAAAUCAAUGGACUCAGGCUGGUCUCCAACUCCUGACCUUAGGUGAUCCGCGUCGGCCUCCCAAAGUUCUUGGAUUACAGGCGUGAGCCACCGCACCCAGCCAGGCAGACUGAUUUCAAUUCUUUUGGUUAUACACCCAGUAGAGAGAUGGCGGGAUCACAUGGUAGUCCUCUUUUUAAUUUUUUUGAGAAAACUUCAUACUGUUUUCUAUAAUGGCUGUACUAAUUUACAUUUCCAUUAGCAGUGUGCCAGGGUUCCCUUUUCCCCACAUCCUCACCAACACUUGUUUUCUUUUGUCUUAAUAAAAGCCAUUCUGACAGGUGGGCGGUGAUACCUCAUUGUGGUUUUGAUUUGCAGUUCCUUGAUGAUUAGUGAUAUUGAACAUCUUUUCAUUUACCUGCUGGCCAUUUGUAUGUCUUCCUUUGAGAAAUGUCUAUUCCUGAAUAGCUUUUGCCCAUUUUUUAACAGAGUCUUUUAAAAUAUUGAGUUGUUUUAGGUCCUCAUGUAUUUUAGAUAUUCCUUAUCAGAUGUAUGGUUUGCAAAUACAAUAUUUCCUCUCAUUCUGUAGGUUGUCUCUUUACUCUGUUAAUUUUUCCCUUUGCUGGACAAAAGCUUAGUUUGAUGCAACCCAUUCGUCUAUUUUUACUUUGGUCACUUGUGGUUUUUGAGUCAUAUUUUAAAAAUCAUUGCCCAGGCCAAUGUUAUGAAGCUUUCUCCUAUUUCCUUCUACUAGUUUUACAGCUUCAGACCUUAUGUUUAAGUCUUUAAUCCAUUCUGAGUUGAUUUUUAUCUAUGAUGUGAGAUAAAGGUCCAAUUUCAUCCUUCUGCAUGUGGACAUCCAGCUUUCUCAAUAUCAUCUAUCGAAGAAAUUGUCUUUUCCACAUGUAUGUUCUUAGUACCUCUGCUGAAAAUCAAUUGAUGUUAAUAAAUUCAGUCAAGUUGCAGGAUGCAAAAUCAACAUACAAAAAUCAAUAGGAUUUCUAUAUACUAACAAUGAACUAUCAGAAAAAGAAAUAAAACAAUUCUACUUACAAUGGCUUCAAAAAAAGUAAAAUACUUUGGAAUAAAUUUAACCAAGGAGAUGAAAGAUCUGUGCACUGCAAACUUUAAAACCUUGAUGAAAGAAAUUGAAGACACAGAUAAAUGGAAGGAUAUUCUGUGUUCAUGGAUUGGAACAAUUAAUAUUGUUAAAAUGUCCAUAUUACCGAAAGUCAUCUACAGAUUCAAUGCAAUAUCUAUCAAAAUUCUAAUGUCAUUCUUCACAGAAAUAGAAAAAAUAGUCCUAAAAUUCAUAUGGAUCCACCAAAAGCGCUGAAUACCUAAGGCAAUUGAGUAAAAGGAACAAAGCUGGAGGUAUCACACACUAUCUGAUUUCAAAAUGUACUGUAAAGCUAAAGUAAUUAAAACAGCAAGGUCCUGGCAUAAAAAUACACAGACUAAUGGAACAGAAUAGAGAGCUCAGAAAUAAAUACCCUGAUAAAUUUAUCUUCAGAAAGUUAUUAUUUUCUAAAGUUGAGUACUCAUAAUAUGAGAGAACAUGACUUGACUAGACUGAGUUUUAUCUCUGAACCAGGAAACAGUGGACACAUUUCAAGAUGGGUAACUGUAAAUUAUGGCCUCUCUUAAGGAUUUCUGGAGCUGGUUUUAAUGUUUCAAAGAAUCUCAAAAUGCGCUAAGAGCAGAGGGGCAAGUGUGUAAUCCCAGCCUUUUGGGAGGCUGAGGUGGGAGAAUCACCUGAGCCCAGGAGUUCGAGACCAGCCUGGGCAACAUGGCAAGAGCCCAUCUCUACAAAAAUUUAAAAAAUUAGCUGAAUGUGGUGGUGCACACCUGUAGACCCAGCUACUUAAAGGGCUGAGGUGGGAGGAUCAUGUGAGGCUGGGAGGUUGAGGCUGCAGUGAGUCAUGAUUACACCACUGUACUUCAGCUUUGGUGACAUAGUGAGACCCUGUCUCAAAAAUAAAACAAAAGGUGUGAUUGUUAAAUAAAAAGACUAAUUUUCUCACAAUCUGCGUUAGUUUACUAGGGAUACCAUAACAAAGUACUACAAACUGGGUAGUGUAGGCAACAGAAAUUUCUUUCUUCCCAGUUCUGGAAGCUGGAAGUCCAAGGUGUCAGCAGGGUUGAUUUCUUCUGAGGGCCUUUUUCCUUCCUUCCUUCCUUUUUCCCUCCCUCCCUUCCUUCCUUCCUUCCGAGACAGAGUCUCACUUUGUCACCCAGGCUGGAGUACAGUGGUGCAAUCUCG
rnacentral:lncRNA from 1 species